UUCGAGAAAUACCCUGAAACGUUUCGUAUCGUAGUUUAUGGCUGAUUCUGAAUAACUAUUGAAGUAAAGGAAAAUUCAACUAUUUGAGCUUUCCUAAUGCAUUACAAAAAAGUCGCCUCUGUUGGCUCAUAUAAAAUUAGGCCAUUUUUGUCCAAUGCACGAGCAGGUUUUUAUUUGUUUUAAUAAAUUAUCUUGAAAUAGGAACAAUUACGGAUGUAGCAGUUUACCUAGGAGGGUGAACAGAUACGACAAGGUUUAAAUUCGGAAUAAGAAUGCGCACUGCACAGUGGAACAAAUCUAUCCCCACACAAAAAUGCUGCUAAUAUGAAGGGAGGUCUCACGGGAACUGGUAUAUGUAUGUUGGGAUCCCAGGUGAACAACCCCAGUAAUUCAUCUCUUUCGAUUAUAGCACACGAAAACACACCAAUUCCAUUCCGAAUAUACUUCGGUGACCAGAUCACGACUGCUGAUCUGCUGCACCGCUCAACGCAAACUGUCUUUAUUUCAUAAGUACAAUAGAUACAAUAAUUCAAUUUAAUAGAGGUUUCCGGUAAAGUUCAAUAAUCAAAUUUAAAAUACAACAUGUAUAUGACCACUUUUAGGUUCCGAACCUGCUUCCAUAAGAUCCGCACCAGGACAUAAUUAAUUACGAUAAAUCAAAAAUUCACAUCUAUCUAUUCAUAUUCAUUGAGGAUGUAUGUGAUGACAUUCUCAGAGCUCUAUAGGUCUAUAGGGUAUCAUUUUCUCAAUAACGGAUCCCUGGCAAGUUCCACGGGAUCCGAAUAUUCCGAAUAUUGGGCGACAUUUAUCAACAUCAUUGGCGUAGCUAGCUUUUUCUUUUAUCUCGCUCACUCUCCUAAACAAACACGAGAAAGAGAAGGAUGAAAGAGGGGGCACAUAAAGUGUGACAUAUCAAUUCACUUGUAUUUUGAGCGAGAAAGUGAAUAAUAACUGUAUUGUAAAAAUUAUACACACUCGAUUCAAGGGGAAAAUGAUCACAUGAUCAAAAAUGUUUUUCCCUUGAAUUAGUAAUGCUGUCAGUGUUGACUUGAGAAUCAAAACAAACCUAAUGGAGAUAUCAACUGAAAAUCACUUCGGUUCGCACUAAUGUACAUACGCUGAUGACUGCUUAUAAUGACUGCUUUGGGCAUGAAAGUAAAUAUAGAUGACAAGUGGUAGAAAGUUUUUCGUUUCGAUUCUCUACAACAGAUGUAGUGUAGUGGUAAAACAGAUGAUCACGACUUUCAAGGUCUUGGUAUCGGAUCUGAGUGCGCAACGCUGUGUUUUUUUUUUUAAUUUUUGUUUUGAAAUCAAAACAUUGUCAACAACGAAUUGAAGUGAAGUUGCAAUAAAAUUGAAGAGGCGUUGGAUGUUCUUUUCCAAGUGAUAUUUAUUCGAUAUGGAAUUGGUUGAAUAGUAGUGCCAAUUCAAGUGCUAAUCAGUUCAAAUCAGCGUGUUGAUUUUUACCGUGUACCACAGAUCUUAAUUCCUUCAUUUGAUUACAUAUUUACGAAUAUCUGUUCAACUGGAAUCUCAUUCCGGACGUUAUUAUUGAAUUUACUUACCUCUAGUGCGACAUAUUCACAUCUAUUUUUAGGGGGGAUAUGAAUGGUGACUUCUUCAUAUUUUUCAGAGAUCAAUUUAUAUGAAAAUCUACCGUUUACCGUUUUCAGACUUUUUAUUUUGUGGUAUAGUCAAUUUGAUUCAAUUAUUUUACUGCAAUGAGCUGUUUAUAGCAUGACUACUGGUAUAUUUACUUUAGUUGUUCUUUGUUUUAUUUAACUAAAUUGUAAAAUUAAAAGUUUUCAUAUUUGCCUAAGACAGCGUCCAACGUAACGCUAAAAUCGUCAUUUUAUGACCUCCCCUCCCCCUCCGUAACGCUUUUCCCUAAGUUUCAGUAGCGUUUUCAUUAAAUUUUGUUUCGUUUUAAGAACGUCUGCCUAUUUUCCGUGAGUUGUUCAACAUUCCCUGAGAUAAAAAGUCUAUUAAAGUUGGGCACACGCACAGAAAUUUGGUUGAGUCGAUUCAACAAAAUGAAUUGUUGAAUUCAAACCCUUCGGUUUGUUGAACCGUUUAUCAGGUUUUGUCGUACCAACAAUCAGUUUUUGUUGCAAUGACAAAUAUAUUGGACGAUUCAAUAAUCAUGUUGUUGGUUAAGGUUUUUUUUUAAUUUAACAGUGUAUUGUUUUGCCGGAGUAAAAAGAAACAAUGUCCGAAUGUAAUCGUGACUAACUGCGAAAUUUAAGAAAAUAAACGAAAUAUGUGCGAAUAUCCCACUGAAGUAAACCUUGGUUUCAAAGAAAUUUAAUCUAUGAUACGAUUUAUAUUUCGUAGAAAAUGGUUGCGCACUGCUUUACGGACUUACGGCGAAAAUAAAAUUGAACCCGGUUCCACUUUCAGAGGAUGAAAAUCAGCAGAAUUCCACAUGUUUCGAAUCCUGUCAGGAAUUCAUAUUCCAUCCAGUCUUCCCAACAUAACCUAGUGUGGAUGCCGCCUUCAACGCAGCUGUUGACGGUAAUUCAACGGGGAAGAAACUGGCGAAUGUUUAUGCGUAUUCUUAAUCAAUGUUAAACGUGUCUCAGGAGAUUAUGUUAUGCAUAUGAUGAAAAGCUCGGUAAAUAAAUGCAAAAAAUAUAGA